rnacentral:lncRNA from 1 species
CUGUUUUUUUAUAUGCUUGCUGUUAGCCAGUUAACACAUUAUGUAUGAAUGUCGUCUACCAUCCACGUUCACCCAAGAACAUACAUAAGUCCUCCAAGGACAGCGCCAUCUGUCUGAGUUAUUCAGGUUGGGCAUCUGCUUAGUAACAGCCACACACAGCAUUUUCUUGGACCGACUCCACCGCCAGCAUCCCCAGUGGUCGCCCCUCCCACAGCACACAGCGCAGCACUAGCAGUCACGCCAUAAACCAUAGUCAAAUUAUACCUGGGCUUGCCUGGUACACAUUAUCAGGCCCUCUGGAGCCAAAGGACCUCCCAGCUCCUUCUAGCUCCCCUUAAAUCAGCUACUCGUCUUGCAUGAGCUCAAGGCCAGCCUGGACUAUGUAACAAAAUCUCAUUUUAAAAAAAAAAUUAGCUUUUAGACUCUAGCCAAGUUAUUUUACACAUCUUUGACUUUACCCCUUUCAUACAAUGGGGAUAAUGGUCACCUCUCAAGUAGAAACUGGGGUUCCCUGAGUCCACUCUGUAAGUGCCAUUUUUUUUUUCAUUGCUCCACAGGUACUGCAGAUACACAGGCGCCAGCCCCCCAGCCAAGCCGCAGGUACUGUGUGCUCUGCACAGAAGCUUCAUUGAGCCAUUCAGCACCACUGGUCCCCCCUGUGCAUGCCAGACGCUAGGUUAGACCACAGGAUGUCAGAGGGAACAGGACAGGCAUCCCCUCCUAGUGAGGGCAGCUUCUGAGUGGUCGGGAAGUGAUGUCUGUUGUGUGUGUUGUAGGCGUGAGGUGAACCAGCAUGAUGAAGAUGGCAACGAACUUCAGACCACUCCUGAGUUCCGAGCCUACGUGGCCAAGAAACUGGGAGCACUGCUGGACAGCUCCAUUGCUAUCGCAGAAGUAUGGAAGAAGACCCAGCAGGCCAGGUUGCAGCAGGAGGCCAAGGAGCAGCAGGAGGCCAAGGAGCA